UACGUAGGGACCAAGCGUUGUUCGGAAUUACUGGGCGUAAAGCGCACGUAGGCGGCUUUGUAAGUUAGAGGUGAAAGCCCGGGGCUCAACUCCGGAAUUGCCUUUAAAACUACAUCGCUAGAAUUGUGGAGAGGUAAGUGGAAUUCCGAGUGUAGAGGUGAAAUUCGUAGAUAUUCGGAAGAACACCAGUGGCGAAGGCGACUUACUGGACACAUAUUGACGCUGAGGUGCGAAAGCGUGGGGAGCAAACAGG
rnacentral:rRNA from 1 species